rnacentral:rRNA from 1 species
GAGUGAACGCUGGCGGUAGGCCUAACACAUGCAAGUCGAACGGCAGCACAGUAAGAGCUUGCUCUUACGGGUGGCGAGUGGCGGACGGGUGAGGAAUACAUCGGAAUCUACUUUUUCGUGGGGGAUAACGUAGGGAAACUUACGCUAAUACCGCAUACGACCUACGGGUGAAAGCAGGGGAUCUUCGGACCUUGCGCGAUUGAAUGAGCCGAUGUCGGAUUAGCUAGUUGGCGGGGUAAAGGCCCACCAAGGCGACGAUCCGUAGCUGGUCUGAGAGGAUGAUCAGCCACACUGGAACUGAGACACGGUCCAGACUCCUACGGGAGGCAGCAGUGGGGAAUAUUGGACAAUGGGCGCAAGCCUGAUCCAGCCAUACCGCGUGGGUGAAGAAGGCCUUCGGGUCGUAAAGCCCUUUUGUUGGGAAAGAAAAGCAGCAGGUUAAUACCCCGCUGUUCUGACGGUACCCAAAGAAUAAGCACCGGCUAACUUCGU